AUAAUAAACAAGCAGCCAUCUAGCUGAGAAACAACAAAACCCACAUGGAAGACAUUGCACUCCAGAUGUGUUGACUCCUGAGAUUUCCCCAAAUGUGGGAAACUCGACUGCAUGAUUUGUGGUAGUGGGGCACUGUGUUUGCGCUCUCCCCUG
rnacentral:snRNA from 1 species